GACGAACGCUGGCGGCGUGCCUAAUACAUGCAAGUAGAACGCUGAAGGAGGAGCUUGCUUCUCUGGAUGAGUUGCGAACGGGUGAGUAACGCGUAGGUAACCUGCCUGGUAGCGGGGGAUAACUAUUGGAAACGAUAGCUAAUACCGCAUAAGAGUAGAUGUUGCAUGACAUUUACUUAAAAGGUGCAAUUGCAUCACUACCAGUUGGACCUGCGUUGUAUUAGCUAGUUGGUGAGGUAACGGCUCACCAAGGCAACGAUACAUAGCCGACCUGAGAGGGUGAUCGGCCACACUGGGACUGAGACACGGCCCAGACUCCUACGGGAGGCAGCAGUAGGGAAUCUUCGGCAAUGGACGGAAGUCUGACCGAGCAACGCCGCGUGAGUGAAGAAGGUUUUCGGAUCGUAAAGCUCUGUUGUAAGAGAAGAACGAGUGUGAGAGUGGAAAGUUCACACUGUGACGGUAUCUUACCAGAAAGGGACGGCUAACUACGUG
rnacentral:rRNA from 1 species